AGCUAAAUUAGUGUCUAGUUUCGUCUCUGAUGACAUUUAUUUCGUAAAAAUCGCUGUUUUUUUCUAAAAAGGUGUUUUUGUGGUCAUUUUGGCUGUUUAUUUCGAGGGUACGGUAGGAGGUCAUCGUUCACUCGAUAACUCUUUUUAAAAUGAAAUAAAAGCGUUUAAAGAUACAUGAUAUGAAUUGAUAUUAAUAUUCGUUAAGUGGGAUUGUCGGUGGACGUUCAUUGGUGAACAGUUGUGCUGGAAUUACGAAAAUAUAUCGAUAUCGUUGAGAGUUCAUUCAUUAGGGGCCUGCUCUCAAUUUUCCUUACAACGCCUCUAGCACUGGGCAAUUGCCACCAUCUUGAAAAGCAGUGCCGCGGAUGGCUAUCGCAUCGCCACUACGCAUGAGAACACGAUGGCUGCCCUGCGCUGCAUUGAUAGUUCGUAAUAAAUUCACAUAAAAACACACCAGAAGAUCUCCGAUUUUAUUUACAAAGAUCAUAUUUUGUUAUUUAUUGAUAAAACAAGCCAUUUUACCACAGCAGAUGACACAUAUUAGGCCUGAAUAAGACUUUAGAAUUUGAAGUGGUGGUGACGAUGCCGAUAUCCAAGAUGGCGGAAUUAUACCAGUGGUCAAAUCUCAUCUAUUUUGGUUAGACUUCGAGAUCUACAUUUUCGACAAAGGCCUGGUGUAAUAUUAUUACGUACUUGAUGAAGGUUUAAUGACACGAAUGAGUACAAGUACAUUACAUUUUUCGACGAAGGCCUUCUGUAAUUUCAUACGCUUCUUACGCAACAUUCAAUAGAUUUAUUUACUGUAUUAUCAUUUCGACCAAGGCGAAUUCGACACUUCAAUUACACAAGGUUAGUAACUUUUGUUCACAAAAUCCAAAUGGAGGCAAAUACAGAACAAUCAAACUUAGUCAUUCCAGUCAGUUACUGAAGCACAGUGAAAACUGUCGGGAGCAGUGCAACUGAUGGCAUGUCAAACUUCCAGUGACUGUCCCUGUCCAUAUAUUUCAAGACAGUACAAAUCUUGUAAUCAUUUUGUUUAUGCAAUGUACGUUAUUAUGUAUCAUUUCAGCACAAUCAAACUUAGUCAUUCCAGUCAGUUACUGAAGCACAGCGAAAACUGUCUGAAUUAGUGCUGCUGAUGGCAUGUAAUUACUCUACUACCACUACCAGUGACAGUCAAUGUCCAAAUAUUUUCAAGUGUGCGAAAUUAGUACUCGUCUACUUCUUAGUGUUAUUUGAAUGCAAUGUAUGUUAUAAAAAUAUUUUUUCAACACUAUAUCAACAUUCUCAUUCCUGUCAGUUUCUGAAAAUCAGCUAAAGCAAUCGCUACCAAUGCAGCUGAUAACAGCAAUUCUUUUUGUUCCCAAUGCCCAUCCAUGACAAUAUAUUUCACGCAUGUGACAAUCAUGUAAUCAUCCUGUUUUUUGUGUUCUAUUCAUGCAAUAAAUAAAUUCAGUAUUUUCAAAUCAUUGGUGCUACAAAACUAUUCUCAUUAUAGAUUAUUCAUAUUUUAUAAAAUGCUGUCAUGUCAAAUUUUGUGUCCUAUAAAUCAUAAUGAAGUCGGCAUUUUAUAUACAACUUUUGUACUCCUCCUAAAUAAACAUACAAAUCUUGUUUUAUGUAAACUUUGUAUAUGUGACCCGUCACAGCAAAACCAGGCGCAUGUCGCUCUGAGCUUGGCAGGUUGAGACGGACUGUUCUAAUCUUUCAUUAGCGACACCAUUUCUUACCAGAGUGCCUCCUUCAUUCAUACAUCUUGUACCUUAACUCAAGAUACCCAUCUUUGAAUAUUUUUAGUAUACCAAGUACUACAAUGUCAAUGUAUUGAAGUCAUGUUCUUGUAGUGUUAUUGGCUUUCUAUUAUCUUGUCAAAAUACCACUUGGUUCUCGCAAAAUCUCAAUAAAAACAAAUGCUAUUGCAUGUAUUGCAUAUUCUAACAGCUAUCCACUGUAUCGAUUUAUCCAUCAUCUGUACUAUUUGUCACAAAAAUGUUAUAUUAUGUAAAUCAUAUUUCAUUACAUAAUGCACACUGCCAAUUACUGCUGAACCAUUCAUAUGUCAUUUAAAUAAAUAAUUUUCAACUUUUUAAAACCGUCUUAUAGUACUGUUCUUGUCACUUAGCUGAACCAAUUGCUCUAUAGCAUGAAAUUUCCAGAAAUGCCCCAGGGACUGAAAAGUGCUGUUUUA